GAUGAACGCUGGCGGCGUGCUUAACACAUGCAAGUCGAACGGAAAGGCCCAAGCUUGCUUGGGUACUCGAGUGGCGAACGGGUGAGUAGCACGUGGGUGAUCUGCCCUGCACUUCGGGAUAAGCCUGGGAAACUGGGUCUAAUACUGGAUAGGACCACUUCUUGGAUGGUGUGGUGGAAAGUUUUUUCGGUGUGGGAUGAGCUCGCGGCCUAUCAGCUUGUUGGUGGGGUAAUGGCCUACCAAGGCGUCGACGGGUAGCCGGCCUGAGAGGGUGUACGGCCACAUUGGGACUGAGAUACGGCCCAGACUCCUACGGGAGGCAGCAGUGGGGAAUAUUGCACAAUGGGCGCAAGCCUGAUGCAGCGACGCCGCGUGGGGGAUGACGGCCUUCGGGUUGUAAACUCCUUUCGCUAGGGACGAAGCGUUUUUGUGACGGUACCUGGAGAAGAAGCACCGGCUAACUACGUG
rnacentral:rRNA from 1 species